rnacentral:tRNA from 1 species
CGGUUAGCUCAGUUGGUUAGAGCGCCUGCCUUACAAGCAGGAGGUCCCGAGUUCGAGUCUCGGACUG